CUACGGGAGGCAGCAGUAGGGAAUCUUCCACAAUGGGCGAAAGCCUGAUGGAGCAACGCCGCGUGAGUGAAGAAGGAUUUCGGUUCGUAAAACUCUGUUGUAAGGGAAGAACAAGUACAGUAGUAACUGGCUGUACCUUGACGGUACCUUAUUAGAAAGCCACGGCUAACUACGUGCCAGCAGCCGCGGUAAUACGUAGGUGGCAAGCGUUGUCCGGAAUUAUUGGGCGUAAAGCGCGCGCAGGUGGUUUCUUAAGUCUGAUGUGAAAGCCCACGGCUCAACCGUGGAGGGUCAUUGGAAACUGGGAGACUUGAGUGCAGAAGAGGAUAGUGGAAUUCCAAGUGUAGCGGUGAAAUGCGUAGAGAUUUGGAGGAACACCAGUGGCGAAGGCGACUAUCUGGWCUGUAACUGACACUGAGGCGCGAAAGCGUGGGGAGCAAACAGGAUUAGAUACCCUGGUAGUCCACGCCGUAAACGAUGAGUGCUAAGUGUUAGGGGGUUUCCGCCCCUUAGUGCUGCAGCUAACGCAUUAAGCACUCCGCCUGGGGAGUACGGUCGCAAGACUGAAACUCAAAGGAAUUGACG
rnacentral:rRNA from 1 species